GGUUUCCUCAUCUAUAGAAUGAAAGGGCUGGAUUCCCACAUCUUUAACUUGCAGGCCUUGCUUGGCUUACAGAAGGAGCAUGAUUGAUUUCAUGACUUGAUUACUUUCUGGAAGCCAGAUGUGGGGAUGCCUCAUCAGAGUCCCACUCCGCCAUAUGCGAGCGGCAUCUCCUUCAGAGUCGCUCAGUCCCCCUCAGAGCGUGGGUGUCAGAUGGGAGCCUGUGCAGAGGCCGGCGCCGAGCCAGGCUCACAGAUGUCCAAUGAGUGUUAGUUUCUGUCUUUAGGGAGGGUCUUUCCAACUUUCAUACCUUAUAAAGUCUGGGUUCAGUAGACACGCUGACUAACUGAAAUCACGGGAACCACAUGUUUAUGUUGGUUGUGGGAGGCUAGUUAGGUGAGAAGAUCUGGCUCUUUUCUCAGUGUCUUCUAAGAAGCUGCCAGCUGAGAUCUGUGUGUGAGCUGUUCCCUUCACCCCUUCCGAUGGGGACCCUUGACGGUUUCUCAGGCUCAUGUAGUGUGUGAAACACAGAUUUGGUGCCCUCCUCUGACCUGAUUCUGCCCCCUCUGCACCCUCCCUGGUGCCCGGGAUGCUGAGCUAAAUAGGAUCAGGCCACAGAGCAGAGCUGGGUCAGGUGAGGCUUCAGGCUCCCCAGCGUGUCUGAGCCUGCCUGGCCAGCCCUGACCGUGGGCAGACCCAGUGAGACAGAGGGCACCUGUCUCCUGUGACUGAUCUUCCCGGGAGGGCACUGCUCUGCUCCUGGCAUAGAUGGCCUUAGGAUCCUGGAACACUGGGGAACUGAGGAGACCUCUGUGUCCCCUCUACCCUCAAGGGCUGUGGAAUGGCUGAGUUCCAGCAGGAACAACACAAAGAGAGUGGAACCCAGAUGCCAUGCUGUCAGGAUGCCCGGGCCACAUGGAGAGGCCACAUGUAGGUGUGUAGCCAAAAGCCCCAGUGAAAACCCAGCCCACAGCCAGCAUCAACCGCCAGACGCGCACUGAGGAAAGCUUUGAGAUGAUGCCAGCCUCGGCUCCCACCUGACUGCAGCCACAUGGGACACCCGGGGGGAGAAUUACUUCGCUGAGCCUGGUCACUCCUAGAACUGUGGGAGAUAAAAAUAAAAUUGUUAUUAUUAUAUAAG